CAAACUUCAAAUAUCAGUGUUUAUUUACACACAUCAAAACAAACACAAGUGAAGAGAGAAGAAGAAAAAAAAUCAGUCUACAUUGUCUCUCUGGGUCCGGCCACAAAAUGUCAUCUACAUCACAUGCAAUGUCCUCUAGUCCAAGGUACCAGGGGAAAAUAUCUUCUGAAAUGCCGUAUCCAGCCCUGACAUGAUGCCUUGUCAAUAUCCCCACAUGUGUCCUCCAUUGCCUAUAAAAGGGCUAUGCGUUGAUGGGGAUGAUGGUCAUAGACCUUCCAGCGCCAGGCAGAGAAGAACUCUUCUAUUGGAUUCAAGAAUGGAGAGUAUGCAGGGAGGUUGAGUACAGUGAAGAGUGGGUGAUCUGUAAACCAGUUGCGGACCAAAGCAGCCCUAUGGAAACUAACAUUGUCCCAUAUGAUGACGUAUCUGGUCUGCUCUGGUCUCUGAACAUUAGUGAGCAUGUCAUGUAAGGUGUCCAGGAAUGUAAUGAUGUAUGAAGUGUUAUAUGGGCCUAGGGUUGCAUGAUGGUGAACAACACCAUUUUGACUUAUAGCUGCAGACAUAGUUAUGUUACCACCACGUUGUCCUGGGACAUUGAUUAUGGCACAGUGUCCAAUAAUGUUCCUGCCACGUCUCCUGGUUUUACUGAGGUUAAAACCUGCCUCAUCCACAAAAAGCAGCUCAUGACCCAUGGCAUCUGCCUCUAGCUCCAUCACUCUCUGGACAAGACAAAACAAAUGCAGCACAGCAGGCCCAUGCACAGCACUACAGUAUGCACUUCCAGAUUCAGUACCAAAGAUACUAUAGCUUACAUGCUCAUAGUCACAUCACAGUUGUUUCACACAUUCACUGUUUCUUUCAAAAGCGACUCUGAAGAUUUGUUUCAAUCGGAUUCUGUUGUGGGCAAGUACACAACAUAAUACAGAAAUGCUCACAUUGUGUUUGUUUUGGAAGGUGUUCUAAUCCUCAAUUAUGCGCUGUUGUAUUUCUCGUAGCCUUAUGGAAUUAUUUGCAAUCACCAUAUUGACUAUAUAUUUCUUCCUCUUCUUACCCUUCCUCUUCCCCCUCCUCCUCCUCCUCUUGCGCCUCCUUGUCCUCUUCCUCUAACUUCACCCUCCUUUUCCUUGUCAUCCUCUCCCUCUCGCUUAUUCACCUCCGCGUCCUCUGCCUCCUCCUCUUCCUCCUACUUGUUCACCUCCACGUCCUCUUCCUCUGCCUCCUCUAAUUCUCACUCUUCUCACUCUUCCUGCUCCCUCCAUUGUACUCCACACGGACUGCUCACCUGUGGCUUCUUUAUAGUGCUUAG
ensembl:lncRNA